rnacentral:rRNA from 1 species
GCCUCAGUAACGGCGAGUGAAGCGGCAACAGCUCAAAUUUGAAAUCUGGCGCAAGCCCGAGUUGUAAUUUGUAGAGGAUGCUUCUGGGUCGCGGCCGGUCUAAGUUCCUUGGAACAGGACGUCACAGAGGGUGAGAAUCCCGUAUGUGAUCGGCUUGCACCCUCCACGUAGCUCCUUCGACGAGUCGAGUUGUUUGGGAAUGCAGCUCUAAAUGGGAGGUAAAUGUCUUCUAAAGCUAAAUACCGGCCAGAGACCGAUAGCGCACAAGUAGAGUGAUCGAAAGAUGAAAAGCACUUUGGAAAGAGAGUUAAAAAGCACGUGAAAUUGUUGAAAGGGAAGCGCAUGCAACCAGACUUGUCGGCGGUGUUCCGCCGGUCUUCUGACCGGUCUACUCGCCGCCGACAGGCCAGCAUCGUCUGGGCGCGCCGGAGAAAGGCGCCGGGAAUGUAGCUCCUCGGAGUGUUAUAGCCCGGCGCACAAUACGGCGCCGCCCGGGCGAGGUCCGCGCUUCGGCUAGGAUGCUGGCGUAAUGGUUGCCUGCGACCCGUCUUGAAACACGGACCAAGGAGUCGACCAUCUGUGCGAGUGUUCGGGUGUCAAACCCCUACGCGUAAUGAAAGUGAACGGAGGUGGGAACGCAAGUGCACCAUCGACCGAUCCUGAUGUCCUCGGAUGGAUUUGAGUAAGAGCAUAGCUGGUCGGACCCGAAAGAUGGUGAACUAUGCCUGAAUAGGGUGAAGCCAGAGGAAACUCUGGUG